GAAAAGUUUAAAAAUAUUAGUUAUUGCUGCCCGUUGUGCUGACGGGAGUAAAUACAAGACUUUAAUAAUGCGACUGGCAGCAAAAGGUAAAGACUCCCUUGACGGCACAGAAAUUCUGAAGUUCCUGAGACGAGUAUUGUUGCACAUACAAGUGAGGUGUCCGGCAGCCAAAAAGUACCUGUUGACUUUUGUGACGGACUACAACCCAGCCAAUAAUUUUUCUGCACAAUGUAUACGACAUUACGCAUAUGCGAAAUAAUUUCGCAAGAAAACAUGGAUAUUUAGAGUCGGCGCUCUACCAAUUGUACGAGGAUAUGGAGUAUACGGACACAAAUUGGUGAGGAGCAAUGGAGGCGAAAAGGGUCAAGUUCGUGGGUAAUACCCAUAGCCAGCUUUUGCUACAGGAGCUGUCGCAGCUGGAGAAGAUUUGUGAAAACUACUUCUCCAACUUCCCAGACAAGACCCUACGCUUAAAUGGCUGCAAGAACGAUGACCUGGAAGUUCGGGGCGAUGUCCUUGCUUUUCAUUUCAAGCGUCUCAUUCAAAUAAUGGUCGACACUCCCUUCCAGCACGAUUUGCACAAAAGCUUAUAAUAAAGCUAUGCUUCAUAUAUAUACAUGCUUUGGA